rnacentral:rRNA from 1 species
CCUACGGGUGGCAGCAGUGAGGAAUAUUGGUCAAUGGGCGAGAGCCUGAACCAGCCAAGUCGCGUGAAGGAUGACGGCCCUACGGGUUGUAAACUUCUUUUGUCAGGGAGCAAUUGAGUCCACGUGUGGGCUUAGCGAGAGUACCUGAAGAAAAAGCAUCGGCUAACUCCGUGCCAGCAGCCGCGGUAAUACGUAGGGGGCAAGCGUUAUCCGGAUUUACUGGGUGUAAAGGGAGCGUAGACGGUGCGCCAAGUCUGGAGUGAAAUGCCGCAGCUUAACUGCGGAACUGCUUUGGAAACUGGCGAACUAGAGUGCGGGAGGGGUAAGCGGAAUUCCUAGUGUAGCGGUGAAAUGCGUAGAUAUUAGGAGGAACACCGGUGGCGAAGGCGGCUUACUGGACCGUAACUGACGUUGAGGCUCGAAAGCGUGGGGAGCAAACAGGAUUAGAUACCCGAGUAGUC